GACUGCAAUAGUGAGCCGUUUCCGUUGCUCUGUCGAUAGUCCAUUUACCCCCGGUAUUCCAACCGAAGCAUCUCUAAUUUCAUCCAACUCAAUUGUUUCAAGAACUUCAUUGACAAAUUCCUGUGGGGGAGAGGAAUAUGGGCGCAACCAGGCUGAAUAUGCAACUGACUCGCCCACUGUGAUUUGUGGGGAAUGAACAUCAGUUUGUUCACAGUAACCUGAUAUCCGAGCAAAGAGGAAGGCAUUCCUUUUCAUAAGAAGAAGCUCCCGUGCAAAACAUGCCUUAAGGAGAUCCCACUUCGAUAAUGAGUAGAUACUGAAGGAUAGGGCAUUUUUAUGUCCUUUUGAUUUGUCAUACGGCUUUGAAAGCUCUUCGGGAUAUAUAUGAAGAAGCCACAGAAUUACAAUCUUGGAGAACCGCAUCCAUCACAGACGGCAGGACAGAUCGUAACUGUUGUGGCUAAAAUGAAUUGAGCUGUGCACAUACUGUACAUUCUUUUAAGAAUUAGUAGGAAAGAAUCCCACUGAAGAAUUAUAUAGUACCAAAAAGGUUUGUAUUUACCUUCAUGUAUGUAUCUAUGUCAGGAUCUGGGGUAAUCCCAGCCUCCUUCUCCCUUCUAAUGACUUCCUUCAUGAUUUCUGGUUUGUACAAUGAAAUUAGAGCGCUUGGUUUAGUAGAGGCAACGUGUAAUGUCUUAUUUUUCCUGAAAUCAAGGUCCUUGAGACUUUGGGCAUUUGCUUCAGUUACAUGUUUUGUAGAGAAAGAAAAGAACACUUAGUUACCUGCUCUGCUGCCAACACCCUGGAAUCUUGCAGAGAAGUCGAGCGUCUCCCUGACAGUCAUCUCAGGGACAUGAAGAUCAUACUGACUAAUGCAUAUAUGUAUGAGGAAAGCAUGGGGCACGCUCUGUUUUGUGCGCAGGCAUAUAUGUAUGAGGAAAGCAUGCGGCACGCUCUGUUUUGUGCGCGUGCAAUUUCAGACCUACAUGCAACUCAGAAGUGGCAGCUAAAGAAUAGAGGUAGAUGAUGGAAUCGGGAGGGGGGUACCUUGAGAUUUUUGUUGAGCUUUCCUGCAAGUGCUAGCAAGAGGGUCGUUUUGCCACAGCCUGGGGGUCCAAGAAGAAGGGUCAUCCUGCAAUGUUGCACACUAGCUAAUCAGAUCAUGAGGAAGGAAGGAAGGACGGAAUGGCAGAUGAUGAUACAUGUAUGUCAUGGAUAGAUAUAAUUACCUGGAAGGGUUGAGGAUGCCUGUGGCAUGUUUGACGAUGUGGAUCCUUUCUUGGUUACGGUUGAAUCCCAUGCCCAGCAUGGUGGUGAGCACCUGCAGACAGAGUAAUGGCAUUUGAGCAGCCAACAAACAAAAGAAAGGUGUGCAAUGGCAGUAGAGAGGAGUACAAAAGAACAGACCGAGAGU